GGAGGUAGUGACAAUAAAUCACAAUGCGGGACUAUCAGUCUUGCAAUUGGAUUGAGAACAAUGUACAACUCUUAUCGAUAAGCCAUUGGAGGGCAAGUCUGGUGCCAGCAGCCGCGGUAAUUCCAGCUCCAAUAGCGUAUAUUAACGUUGUUGCAGUUAAAAAGCUCGUAGUUGAAGUGUGGGUGAUCGCUGUUGUGAGACUUCGGUCUCUCGACAGUAAGUCACCCCCUUCCAGUAUCCAGUAGUGGGUAUUCAGUUACUUACUAUUGUGUGUUGGUCCUUUACUGUGAGAAAAUUAGAGUGUUCAAAGCAGGCGUUUGCUUGAAUAGAUUAGCAUGGAAUAAUAAUUGAAGGCUUUCGUGUUCGAUUUGAUUGGUUUGUUCAUGGAAGCAAGGUUAAAAGGAACAGUUGGGGGUAUUCAUAUUCACUAGUUAGAGGUGAAAUUCUCGGAUUUAUGGAAGAUGAACAAGUGCGAAAGCA
rnacentral:rRNA from 3 species